rnacentral:tRNA from 1 species
GCGGAGAUAGCUCAGUUGGGAGCGUCAGACUGAAGAUCUGAAGGUUCGUUUUUAAGUUGGUGAUUAUAGAACUUAUCUUAAUUUAUGUG